UACGUAGGGGGCAAGCGUUGUCCGGAUUUAUUGGGCGUAAAGAGCGUGUAGGCGGCCACACAGGUCAGCUGUGAAAACUCGAGGCUCAACCUCGAGACGUCGGUUGAAACCGUAUGGCUAGAGUCCGGAAGAGGAGAGUGGAAUUCCCGGUGUAGCGGUGAAAUGCGCAGAUAUCGGGAAGAACACCCGUGGCGAAAGCGGCUCUCUGGGACGGUACUGACGCUGAGACGCGAAAGCGUGGGGAGCGAACAGG
rnacentral:rRNA from 1 species